rnacentral:tRNA from 2 species
GGCCCCGCGGUGUGAUCAUGUCAGACUGCAAAUCUGAAGUUGGCAGCUGCCCGGGGCUU